rnacentral:rRNA from 1 species
UACGUAGGGUGCAAGCGUUGUCCGGAAUUAUUGGGCGUAAAGAGCUCGUAGGCGGUUCGUCGCGUCGGCUGUGAAAACCCGGGGCUCAACUCCGGGCCUGCAGUCGAUACGGGCGGACUAGAGUUCGGCAGGGGAGACUGGAAUUCCUGGUGUAGCGGUGAAAUGCGCAGAUAUCAGGAGGAACACCGGUGGCGAAGGCGGGUCUCUGGGCCGAUACUGACGCUGAGGAGCGAAAGCGUGGGGAGCGAACAGG